GUCAGCAGGUUGCAGGUGAAGCUCAGGGUGCGAGAUGAUACUGGACACCAUUAAUGGCUGAUGGAGAACUGCUAGACUUCAUCUUGUGGUUCUCUGAAGACAGCUGUAAUAGUCUUGCUCCUUACUUGUGGAGGACUAUGGAAAACACCAUGUUUUUGUUUUGGACAACGCAAAUAAAACUAACAAGUGAUGUCUGGAGAAAGAACAAAGACAAAUCCUGAGCCUGACACUGAUUUCCCUCUUCCUCUGGGACCUUCUGGAGGGGAACAGCCUUGUCAUCAAGAGGCCACUGUCAGAGAAUUUCUUCUUGAGAUUACUUUCUUAACCUGGCACUUCAGGUUGCCUAAAACUUAUGGACCUCAAAGAAAUCUAUUGUGGAAUUCAAUUUCUGACUGCUUCUGAAUG